rnacentral:rRNA from 1 species
UACAGAGGUCCCAAGCGUUGUUCGGAUUCACUGGGCGUAAAGGGUGCGUAGGUGGUGGGGUAAGUUUGAUGUGAAAGCUCCGAGCUUAACUCGGAAAUGGCAUUGAAUACUAUCCUGCUUGAGGUUUGGAGGGGGGACUGGAAUUCUCGGUGUAGCAGUGAAAUGCGUAGAUAUCGAGAGGAACACCAGUGGCGAAGGCGAGUCCCUGGACAACACCUGACACUGAGGCACGAAAGCUAGGGGAGCAAACGGG